GAUGAAGAACGUAGCGAAAUGCGAUAAGUAAUGUGAAUUGCAGAAUUCAGUGAAUCAUCGAAUCUUUGAACGCACCUUGCACCCUUUGGUAUUCCGAAGGGUAUGCUCGUUUGAGUGUCAUUGUACUCUCACACUUCUAAUUCCUUUCGGGAUUGGGAGCGGUGGACUUGGGUGUUGCUGCUUUAGUUGUGGCUCACCUCAAAUAAGUUAGUGCAACUCUUGGGUGGACAUAGUACGGCGUGAUAAGUGUCUUCGCCGGCGCCUCUGUAAGGAGGGUGGCCGAUCGGGAGCUCUGUGCUUCAAACCGUCUUCGGACAAUCUUUGACAACUUGACCUCAAAUCGAGUAGGACUACCCGCUGAACUUAAGCAUAUCAAUAAGCGGAGGA
rnacentral:misc_RNA from 1 species